CACCGUAAGACGGAAUAAGAAGAAGAGGAAGAUGGCAUUUGACAUGUUAGUGUUCCCGAGUUUCCGCAUCCUAUUUAGCACGACCUUUUCAUCGUGGGGGCUUUGAAGUAGUAGCUGUUCCGAUUUUGUUUAAAUUGUCUAGAGAGACAAUCUAAUAUAAAAGUUCACAAAAAUGGGUUUUGAAAAUAUUUGGUUCUCUCAUCCUCGUAAAUACGGACAAGGCUCAAGAUCCUGCCGUUCCUGCUCAAACAGGCAUGGUUUAAUAAGGAAGUAUGGACUGAAUCUUUGCAGGCAGUGUUUCAGAGAAUAUGCAUUGAAUAUUGGAUUCAAGAAGUUGGACUAAGUUUCUGAUGUUGAUGUAAAUAAUGUUAAGUAAACUCAUUUUGAAUAAAUAACUGAGGAAUCAUGACAUUCUACUUAUUUCAGUGAAUGUGGUGCUGGAAGCUCAAAGAUUGAGUA